rnacentral:lncRNA from 1 species
AAUAAACAGGAAAAAUAAUGAAGAAUGCCAAAUGAUGAUAAAACACACACAAACACGAUUUGAUUAUCACGCUGAGCACAAAAACUAAAAACGUCAACCCGUAAGUCAUGAAUCCUAAAGCCCCGAGUGAAGCUAUAGGAUUAAUUAAAACUACUACAUUUUAUUCAAAAUAAGCAUCACGGGUAAAUCCAGAAUCUCCCAAUUGUUGAGUGGUGCAUCUGGGGAGCAAGUCCACACGAAACUUGAGAUUUCAGAUCUAUCUUCAUCCUCCACGGCCGCUAUUUGGCCAAUGUUGACCCAUCCAGCACUACGAAAGCUCUCCUUGAUGCCACAAAUACGAAUCUUUCCCUCCCUGGGUUCCCGAUCAUUCCACACGAGCCAAACUGCACUCUUUCCUUUCUUCAAUCAACCUUUCCUUGUCCUCGUAUCAUACUUGCAUCAAACUACUGUAAAGCAAGUCUUGUAGAAUCUCUUCAAAUUCAACAUACUCAUUAAUAGAGUGCCCAACAUCUGGAUGGAGUGCACAUGCUAUACCCACAUCAUAAUCACCUUUUAAAAGCCCUACCUUCAAUAAUGCCUCAAAAAUAAACCUCCUGGAACUUUGGAUAUCACUCACAUCUCUUAUAACUCAUGCUCUUUCACCUCAACAACAUUCGUCGAGGCACUCCCAUGCCCGAAUAGUGGAUUAGCCUCAAUGCUAGGUUUAACUUCUUGAAACUUUAGCCACCCAGAGUCGAUUAGAGCCUGUACUUUAUGUUUGAAAGCCAAACACCUCUCAAUUGAGUGACCAACACCCCUCUCAUGAUAACUACACUUGGCAUCUGCCUCAU